UACGUAGGGUGCAAGCGUUGUCCGGAAUUACUGGGCGUAAAGAGCGCACAGGCGGUCGUUCAAGUCGCGUGUGAAAGCCCCCGGCUCAACUGGGGAGGGUCACGCGAUACUGAUCGACUCGAAGGCAGGAGAGGGUAGUGGAAUUCCCGGUGUAGUGGUGAAAUGCGUAGAUAUCGGGAGGAACACCAGUGGCGAAGGCGACUACCUGGCCUGUUCUUGACGCUGAGGCGCGAAAGCUAGGGGAGCAAACGGG
rnacentral:rRNA from 1 species